ensembl:lncRNA
GCAUGUUUGGUGAAGAGAAAGAGAGAAAAAAAAUUACUAUUUUCUAAUGAAAUAUCAAGCUAAAGGAAACCAAGGCAGGAUGGUGACUAACUUAGUGAUUUACUUUAUUUUUCGGUAGUUACAUUUUUAAUAGAAAAUCAGAACACAGCGCACACGGAACCACCUAGAAGGCACAUCUGAACUAACAUGGCGUUUGUUCCCACAACGCUCUGUGCCAGAGAUGCAAACCUCGGACUCCCAGGGGUCGAUUCAGAAAGGCUGGCAACGUUUGCCAAGAUCGUCUCGUGGGCCAAACGAAACGUUCGCAUCUACAAAAAUCCUGGUCGCCAAUCGGAUUUAAAGGUAGAAGCUUGAUAGGUUCGCAAUAGUGAAAAUUCCUGAUGCGAACGUUUGCAAUUCAACGAAUGGCUGCGUAUGACUUUAAUGGGCUGAAAACGCCUGCUGGCACCUGGAGAGCGUGAAACGAUCCUGCCGAUCGGCGGGAUGAGACACGGAUGUGAGCGUUUAUAUCGUAGGCGUGCGGAAGAGCUGUUUGCGCCUCGUAACGAAGUGACAAACUGAACAGGCCCUUUAGUCACCAAGGGACGACCUUUCCUGCGCGGUCGUUCCGAGGCCCAGCUGUCGUCUGCGUCCAGGACCUUCGAUUACCCUGUCACUUGGAUGACCGAGUCCCAGCAGGCCCCCGCCUGCCCCCCCCCACCGGGGUCCACGCGGCCCCUAGGCUGGGGGUUAAGGCCGACGGUCAAGGGCUUCUUCCGUGUGCUUGGUACCCUGAAACCCCAUCCCUCCUAGUUUUAGCAAGGAGCGGGGACCGCGAGGGUGGGGGCUCCGCUCCCGAGGACGGGCUUCGAGUCGGACGAGCCAUCGCCAGCACGCAAAGCAAUUAGACCCAGGGGUGGGUAUUUAUGGAGUAGCCCUGUCGUACUAUUUCGGGGGCCGAUGCGCUCACCGUGGACAGGAUUAAUAUAGAUGGUGUCCGUGCUGCGAAGACCCUCGGAUCCCGGCGGCGUUCUUUCCAACGCCACGCUCAACUCCUGAACGGGGUCCGGGCUGCCGGUUCGAGACCGGGCGACACCCCGCUGAUCCGGCUUUGCCAUCAAAUCGGCACUCGCACCGUCCGGGUGUCACGUCAAGGUCGUCGUCAUCAUUCUCCUUCGUGCGAGCCUGCAACGGAAACGCGCUGUGCAGUCAGCUCCUCCUCUAUCCCACGUGUGCACAAGGGGGGUCAGGAAUCCCGACUUUGGCGCAACUCGCUCCCUUCGAACGGACCGCGGAUGAACACGACGGCUCGCCGGCCUGGACCGUAACGCUCGGAAACGAAAUCGCGGAACCUCAGAAGAACCCUAAGAACGGGCUAAAAGAAAGUUUAUGGGAACCUGAAAACACUGCCAUGAAAGGAAUUAAACCUCUGGGACCUCCUUAAAAACACCCCUCUUUGUACAAACUUCAUCUAUAAAGAAUUUAGUCAAGAAUGUUGCUAUUUUACUUUUUGGGGAAAAAAAGAAAAGAAAAAACAAAUGAAACAAAAAAGCUUUGCUAAAUGUUUUACUUAUUUAAUACAACGGUUAUUUUUCUCAGAACCUGUCAGAUUUGCUGUAUUUGAUGGAAAAAUGUUCAGAAUGAUUAAAACCUGGGGGUAUUUCAUCCACCAUAAAUUUCAAACCAUGUAAAUACUGCUCAGUCAUAAAUAAUUCAGCACUAUAUUUUUUACACUGUGGACUCUCUCUUAAUUUAUAUACACUGUACAAAAUUACUUCUGCAAAAUAACCAUUCUAAAUUUGUCAUUAUUUCUCAUUUCUAUUCAUUCAAUCUUGAGAAAAAUAUUUUCGUUAAUCCAACUCAUAUAUUGUAAGAUAUAAUUAGAAAAUAAAUAUUUGAGAGACUGAACA